GAUGAACGCUGGCGGCGUGCCUAAUACAUGCAAGUCGAGCGAACAGACGAGGAGCUUGCUCCUCUGACGUUAGCGGCGGACGGGUGAGUAACACGUGGAUAACCUACCUAUAAGACUGGGAUAACUUCGGGAAACCGGAGCUAAUACCGGAUAAUAUAUUGAACCGCAUGGUUCAAUAGUGAAAGACGGUUUUGCUGUCACUUAUAGAUGGAUCCGCGCCGCAUUAGCUAGUUGGUACGGUAACGGCUUACCAAGGCAACGAUGCGUAGCCGACCUGAGAGGGUGAUCGGCCAGACUGGAACUGAGACGCGGUCCAGACUCCUACGGGAGGCAGCAGUAGGGAAUCUUCCGCAAUGGGCGAAAGCCUGACGGAGCAACGCCGCGUGAGUGAUGAAGGUCUUCGGAUCGUAAAACUCUGUUAUUAGGGAAGAACAAAUGUGUAAGUAACUAUGCACGUCUUGACGGUACCUAAUCAGAAAGCCACGGCUAACUACGUG
rnacentral:rRNA from 1 species